rnacentral:rRNA from 1 species
UACAGAGGUCCCAAGCGUUGUUCGGAUUCACUGGGCGUAAAGGGUGCGUAGGUGGCGAGGUAAGUCGGAUGUGAAAGCUCGGAGCUCAACUCCGAAAUGGCAUUGGAAACUACCUUGCUCGAGGGUUGGAGGGGGGACUGGAAUGCUUGGUGUAGCAGUGAAAUGCGUAGACAUCAAGCGGAACAUCAGUGGCGAAGGCGAGUCCCUGGACAACUCCUGACACUGAGGCACGAAAGCUAGGGGAACAAACGGG